rnacentral:rRNA from 1 species
GAUGAACGCUGGCGGCGUGCCUAAUACAUGCAAGUCGAGCGAACAGAUAAGGAUCUUGCUCCUUUUACGUUAGCGGCGGACGGGUGAGUAACACGUGGAUAACCUACCUAUAAGACUGGGAUAACUUCGGGAAACCUGAGCUAAUACCGGUUAACAUAUUGAACCGCAUGGUUCAUUAGUGAAAGGCGGCUUUGCUGUCACUUAUUGAUGUAUCCGCGCCGGAUUAGCUAGUUGGUAAGGUAACGGCUUACCAAGGCAACGAUACGUAACCGACCUGAGAGGGUGAUCGGCCACACUGGAACUGAGACACGGUCCAGACUCCUACGGGAGGCAGCAGUAGGGAAUAUUCCACAAUGGGCGAAAGCCUGACGGAGCAACGCCGCGUGAGUGAUGAAGGUCUUCGGAUCGUAAAACACUGUUAUCAGGGAAGAACAAAUGUGUAAGUAACUGUGCACAUCUUGACGGUACCAGAUCAGAAAGCCACGGCUAACUACGUG